UUGAAUGAUGCUUUCGUAUAACUUAUACGCUGGAAAUUACCGACUGAGACCUUCGGGCUCUGACGAUAUCAAAUGGCUAUUUCUGACU
rnacentral:snoRNA from 1 species